UUACCGAGAUAGGGUUCCGCAAGGGCCCGAACCUCCAACCCAUUGUCUACCAAACCUCUGUUGCCUCGGCGGGCCGCCGGCGUUCCCUUCGGGGUAUCGCCGCCGUCGGCCUCUGCGCUCUCGAGCGCCCGCCGCAGGACCUUAUAAACCCUUUUUUAAAUGAGUCUUCUGAGUAGAUAUUAAAUGUUUCUAAAACUUUCAACAACGGAUCUCUUGGUUCUGGCAUCGAUGAAGAACGCAGCGAAAUGCGAUAAGUAAUGUGAAUUGCAGAAUUCAGUGAAUCAUCGAAUCUUUGAACGCACAUUGCGCUCCCUGGUAUUCCGGGGAGCAUGCCUGUUCGAGCGUCAUUAUCAACCCUCAAGCCCUGCUUGGUAUUGGGUGCCGCCCCCCCGGGGCGCCCCCUAAAGACGUCGGCGAUGGUGGUCAAACCUCAAGCGUAGUAAAAUCUCCAGCUUUUUAGGUUGCUGCCGUCGUGCCCGCACCCAUCACACAAGGUUGACCUCGGAUCAGGUAGGGAUACCCGCUGAACUUAA
rnacentral:rRNA from 1 species